CGCGCGCGUUUGGGCCUCGGUGAGGCUCCCGGCAGGAGCUGAUCGACGGUUCCCCCCGGCCCCCAGCACAGCAUCCUUUCUCCCUCGGGAGCGGGAAAGCAACCCCUUUCUGUCCCGUCCCUUCCCCGCGAGCCUCUAGACGGGACGGAGCGGAGGCUCUUGGAGCCUCCAGCCCCGAACCAGGGCUCCUGGGACUCGCGACCCUCUCUCAGAAGAGGGCAGGGAAGGAGCGCGAGGUGGAGCGGGGGUGACUUCGGGGAGGAAAGGGUUUUUGCACAUAGGACGCAGCUGCAGAUCGGUAGCUGGAGGCCGCACGGUGAAAUAAGCGCCUCGCAGACGUCUACGCCCGAGUUAAGUUAGACCCGGGAGACAGAAAUCCACGCGCUGGACGCGUGGGCCCAGGCGCGCCCGAUUGGGAACCUCGCUGACAGUUACUGUAGUUUUUCCAGAUCAUUCAGUGUUUAGGAAAUGAGUCUCUGGAUGCCAACUCCUUCGCGUCCUGGUGCCCGAAUACAGUUGAACCCAGGAGCCCCAGAGUCUACCCAGCCUGGGGAACCCCCUUUCCCCUCUAACCAUGGGCUUGGGGAACCUGUCAGUUGCAAAGUGCUAGUCAAGCAUAUGGGAGGGAGUGUGGCUUCAGUGCUGCUUAGAUACCUAUAUUGUUUAGGGCCAAAGGAAUAACGGGGAAGGUGGAUGAAAGGCCAGAGAAUCCCGCCAUGGAACUCGGCUCGCAUGCUGUCUGUGUCGCUCCAGCCUCUGAAAGGAGUAAAUAAUGGUUUCCUUUGAAGUGGCAGGCAAUUAAGGACUGGGAGGCUCUGACCAGAAUUACACAGCCACAACUGCCUGUCAUCUGACAUCCUCUGUAAUUUGGGCCAACGUACUGCAGCUGCCUCGCUUCCCUUUUACUAAUAUGAGUGGCUCCGGUGACAGGCCGUUCGUGUUCACAGGAAGGGAAGGCUGUGUCCUGAACGCUGCCCAAUUGGCACUGGUUUUCCCUUGGGCCACGGCUGUAUCUGGAGCCAGUUAAGGAAUGGUGGUGCCAAGUGAGAGCAAGGAGGAAGAGAGUUGUAGAUCUAGCCUUGUGUUCAUACUACUACAGGCUGGACGUGAGCCACUUUCUGGAGCUCAGCUUGGGGAGGUGCUCUCGCUGUCAGAGCUUUUCUCCCGCAAGUCAGAGCGCACACAUCUUGCUGUAUCUUUUCCCCCAGGGUGAACGCUCACUGAUGGCUCAGUUGGGAGCAGUUUUGGCUGUGGCUGCCAGUUUCUUGUGUGCAUCUCUCUUCUCAGCUGUGCACAAGAUAGAAGAGGGACAUAUUGGGGUGUAUUACAGAGGCGGUGCCCUGCUGACUUCCACCAGCGGCCCUGGCUUCCAUCUCAUGCUCCCAUUCAUCACAUCCUAUAAGUCUGUGCAGACCACACUCCAGACAGAUGAGGUGAAGAACGUACCUUGUGGGACAAGCGGUGGCGUGAUGAUCUACUUCGACAGAAUCGAGGUGGUGAACUUCCUGGUCCCACACGCAGUGUAUGAUAUAGUGAAGAACUACACUGCCGACUACGACAAGGCGCUCAUCUUCAACAAGAUCCACCACGAGCUGAACCAGUUCUGCAGUGUCCACACGCUUCAGGAGGUCUACAUCGAGCUCUUCGAUCAGAUUGAUGAAAAUCUCAAACUGGCUUUGCAACAGGACCUGACCUCCAUGGCCCCCGGGCUCGUCAUCCAAGCUGUGCGGGUGACAAAGCCCAACAUACCUGAAGCCAUCCGCAGGAACUACGAGCUGAUGGAAAGCGAGAAGACGAAGCUUCUGAUUGCAGCCCAGAAGCAGAAGGUGGUGGAGAAGGAAGCCGAGACAGAGCGGAAGAAGGCCCUCAUUGAGGCAGAGAAAGUGGCUCAGGUGGCAGAAAUCACCUAUGGGCAGAAGGUGAUGGAGAAGGAGACGGAGAAGAGGAUUUCGGAAAUCGAAGAUGCUGCGUUUCUGGCCCGGGAGAAAGCCAAGGCGGACGCCGAGUGCUACACUGCCAUGAAAAUAGCCGAAGCAAAUAAGCUGAAGCUGACCCCUGAGUAUUUGCAGCUGAUGAAGUACAAGGCCAUCGCUUCCAACAGCAAGAUUUACUUUGGCAAAGACAUCCCUGACAUGUUCGUGGACUCUGCGGGCAGCCUGGGCAAGCACUUGGAGGCGCUAGCUGACAAGCCGAGCUUUGGCUUAGAAGAGGAGCCCUCGGAGGCAGACGCGGAGGAGAACUGAAUGUUUGUCCCCAGCCGCACAUGACCCUCAAAGAGAUCUUUAUUUUUUAAUGAUGAACCAGCCCUCCCUUCCACACUACCUUCUUUGACUCUCUUCCACGUACUGUGGUGAAAAAAGAAGAAACGGACUUAAACCUAUUCCCCUUCCUGGGAAGCGGGGGUAGGGACUGAUGAAUUGGGGUUUUCUUCAGCAUCAAGAAGACAGGAAUGAAGAACUCAGGUGUCUUCAAAGCUGCUGAAGUGGGACCGUGCUAUCUGUUAGCCACUGUGGUACCUGCUUGGCAAACUGUGCGCGUUCCUUGAGAUCAAGUGUCUUUUCAUUGCUGUGGGGAUCCUACGGUUGAAGACCUCCUCUGGGGGAGGAAGAAGGGCUCGUCCCAAAGAUUCCCCAAUCUCAGUGCCUGUGACUUGUGCUGGGGUCUGUCUGAUGUAGUGAUAAGGGGGAGCCCGUUCGCUAAGCGGCCGGUGUCUUUAAAUCCAGGGCUCCAGGGGUCACACCGAGUGUUAAAUCUCCAGAGACAGCUGUGUGGGUACGAGUUCAUGCCCUAGUCCCUGGGUCAGGACUGCAUCAGAAUCCACUCAAAUGUUUUUUCAUUACUAAUUGGGAGAUUUGGAUGGGGGGAACACAAACAUGAAAAAAAGGUUUUCUUGUGUCCUGAAGUUGGAGUUGGGGGCAGGAGUGUGCACCAGGUCGCUAAGUGGAGGGCAGCUGUCUGGAGUGAACUUGCAAGCCUGUUGGUAUCGUCCACGACAAGCCCUGGCUGAGGAUUUGUUAUUAGCUGCCCCCCUCCAAGAAGAACUCCCACUGUACCCCUCUUUUCUCGGUGAAACUACAAAUGAUACUUUCUGGCACAGAUUUCCAUCUCAUUUUUGAUCCCACACCCAGACUUCUGAUUAAUCGAAUGGCCCCAAAAGUCGGGCUACCUUGCUUCUAAGUAGCACCAGGCUCUUCGGGAGUUGGGGGAACAUUCAGCCGGCCUAGGAAUACACAGAGAGUUAAUCCCUCUUAAUUUAAAUGUUGCCCUUUUCUGUUCUAAUUUGUGGGACUUAGAAUUCUCAAACCACCAUUCCUGGUCACACUUUGUGCAGGCAGCCAAAUGUUCCUGGGAGUGAUGGAUUUUAAUGUGCUCAGAAGGCCUUGCAGAAGGCAGUUAGUCUAAGACCAACAUAAGGUAUCCAUCAUUAAGAUACACUCACCCUCCUCCCACUUCAGUGCCAUUAAUCACUUGUUAGGAGUACCACGUCACAUCCAGCAUCCCUGAUUUACAUAUUUGUCGGCUCCUCUGCUCUGAGACCGGCUGCCUAAGCCUCAGAAAACACUACUUCUCUCCAGUGGAAUACGCAGCAAGGACAUCUCAGCCUCUCUGAAUAGCAAGCUUGCUCAGAUUCUUAACCGGAACUUCUCUCUAAUACUAGCAUCCUGUGAUGGCUUGUCCCUUGCACUAGAUCACAAAGGAGCCUCGGUGAAGUCCUGCUACACCUGCCCCCCUUCAAUGUCAAUGUCACUUCUUCUUUAAGCAAAAAAUGUAACUGUUGUAGUACCCAUUCGUUUAACUCCAAUGUUGUCUGUACCUGCCUGAAUAGGAAAAUCAUGGAAAUGGGCUGUUUUCUUAGCUUGAGACAACUAACCAGUCUGUCUGUGUGACUUCGUUUCUGUAACACUUACUAGAAAACCUGAUCUGAAAACAUUUGAAUUCUAAACAUGUAAACUGUGACAGCCUGCAAUUCUGUAGGCAGUAAAGUCAUGGCUGCUAUUGAUAAAUGGAACCUCUAUCAAAAUAAGGAACUGUUUAUAAAAGUCAGUUUUUGUAGGACUUUCCAAGGAAAAAUCACCUUGGUUGAAUGUUUCUCACUCAUUAAACUUUGCAGAAGUGAUCUAUAUUCAGUACUGUUUUUAAUCACUUUUUUUAAUAUCAGGACAGCAUAUUUGAAAGGAAGCCACAGUUUGUUAAUUUUUAUAUGACUAAAAUAAAUUCGGAGGGAUCUGCGAUCAUAUUAAGUUGAGAGAGGGAAAAAAAUCACUGAAAGAAUUUUAGCAAUAUAGUCAUCCCUCGGCAUCUGCAGGGGACUGGUUCCAGGACACUCCCCCCGACCCCGUACCAAAAUCCGUGGAUACUCAAGUCCCUUAUAUAAAAUGGCCUAGUGUAGCUGCCCCUGUAUCCGCGGGUUCCACAUCCACAGAUACAAAGGGCCGACUAUAUUGAUCCGAAAAAAGUAGAUGUUUUAUAAAUGAUCUGUUGCAGUUUCUAUGAGUCUCUAUCUUUCAACACAGAUAACUUCACCAUUUAUAAACAGUGAAAGUAAGAGCUUCAUAUUUAGUGACUACCUAUUUAAGUUUGAUUGAGGAUAAGUUGUAUCCUGACUAGGGGUCACUCUGCCUCUAUGGACUUAACCACUGCUUCUUUAGUUCUAUUCAGUAGGGUUCUAGCCACUAUUUCUGGUGUUUCCUUUUAAAAGAGGUAAUAGCCAAUCAUUUUGUGUUUGUAUUUCCAUUCCUAUUUCUGCUUUUGUGCAAGCUGGUGAUUGAAUAGUCAAAACUAAUUCUACUUGCAAAGAGCCCCGAGGACUGAAUGGCCCCCUUUGAAACUGAGAAAUGAUUGUUGUUAUAUUAAUCACUCUACAAAUGAUAUGCUGGAUUAAUUGCCUUGGGCUGAUAGAUGGAAGAACUGUUUUAGACAACUCUAAAGGUGUGAUUUGAUGUCUUAGUUUUAUUUUCAGUCUUGCUAAAUAAAAUGAGUCUUUGUAUUUUUUUAUUACAGUGAAAUUUAGCAAUAGCUAAUAUUAGAUUAGGUGAUAUAAAGAGAUAAAACAUUUCUGCCUAGUGAGUUAAGUCGAGCCCCAAAAAUAUAUUCAGAUGAAUAUCUCUUCCCAUUAUCAAUGUAGAAAUAAUAAACAGCUUAUUUGUGAAAAUGGCAUAAUUCUUGGUAGGUGCUACGGAGAUUUAUCGUAAAAUACUCCAAACACUGCUGCAAUUCUGCUCCAAAAGAGCAGACGUACUUUCAACUGACCCAAAAUAUAUUUUGAUAUCAAUUCGGUAAGAAAGUCGCAGUCUCUGUCUGGGAAAUAUGCCCAGCCUAGAGUUGCCGAAUAAAAUACAGGAUGCCCAGUUAAAUGUGAUUUUCAUAUAAAUAACGAGUAAUUUUUAGUAUAAGUAUGUCCCAAAUAUUGCAUGAGACAUACUAAAAAAGUAUUCGUUGUUUAUAUGAAAUUCACAUUUAACUGAGCAUCCUGAACAGUUGACCCUUGAACAACACGGGUCCACUUUUACACGGAUUUUUUUCAAUAAGCGCACACUACAGGACUAUUCAAUCUGCGGUUGGUUGCCUUCGCAGGUGCAGAACCACAGAUACGAGGGCCUGCUAUAAAGUUAUAGGCAGAUUUUCGUCGAUGCCAGCCGGGGUCAGUGCCUCUAACACCUGCAUUGUUCAAGGAUCAACUGUAUUUUUAUUUGCUAAAUCUGGCAACCCUAGCCCAUGCUUUCUCAGGUUUUUCAAUGGUGCUCCCAAACUUUCUCUGUUGGUUGGAGAGCCCAACACAAAUACUAUGGAUUUACAAUUGAAUAGGUAAAUUAAGAAUGUAGUUUCUAGAGUUAGACUGCCAAGAUUCAAAUCCCUUCUCUACCACUUCUUAGAUGUAUGGUCUUGAAUAAAUUCUUUAACCUGUCUGA